UAGGGCUUCAUUGUUAUUGUUCUUCCAUCUUCAACUACGCCGUCUCCGCUUACUUUAUUAAUCUCAAUUUGCAAACCUAAUGAUUUCUCCUCUCAUCUCUUAACCUCUCCUGUUUUAGCGUAUUUCUAUGGUUCAACGCAUUUCUAUCGUUCCGGAAUCCACUGCUCUGUUUCGGCCGGCGAGACCACAAAACGAAGUGGAGGAUGUCCCUGACAUAUAUCAUGGGGCUCGAGAUAGAUUCAGUCGAGAACGCCUUAUCUUCAGAGCUGGCUCUCCGUUUCAGGCCUCCCGCCGCAGAAAAUGGCUAUCGACAGAGUCGACAUCGGAGAGAGGACUCGUCGCGUCUCAGAACCUAAGAAAAGGAGAGAAGCUUCUCUUCGUUCCUCCUUCUCUCGUCAUCAGGGCUGAUUCUGUGUGGACGAAUGGUGAGGCUCGUGAAGUGAUGAAACGUUAUGAUGUUCCGGACUGGCCUUUGCUAGCUACUUAUCUUAUAAGCGAAGGGAGUCUUUAGAAAGAUUCUAGAUGGUUUAAUUAUAUCUCUGCUCUUCUGAGACAACCUUACUCGCUUUUAUGCUGACAGAACUUGAUAUGUACUUGGAAGCUUCACAGAUUCGAGAACGGGCAACUGAAAGAAUCACUAAUGUUGUUGGAAUGUGAGAUAUUGUAUUCUCUUUCCUUCUCUCAACUGCGAUUUGAUGUGUAGAACUUUACUUUUCUUUACUUGAUGCACUCUCAGGCACUUGAUGUGUAGGAGACUGAUGGUUAUGCCCUGCAUCAGACACAACUGAAAAUUUGAAGUUGCAAGAUGCACAAAUAUGUACAAGAUUACGGACCAUCCUUUCCUGAUCAGAGCAAUCAUUGUUGAGUUAGUGAGACUAUACAAAGAGUCUGAUCUCGGGCCGGAAAAGCCUCUACACCGUCGGAUAGCUUCCUUUCACUUGGAAAGAGUUCGCUGUUAUGAUCUUUGAUGAAGACGACGGUAUCAUCAAUGGCCUUAGAAGGUAGAGAUCAUAUAAGGUGGCUAUCAAGUUCGUUGCACGGGCCAAUAUGCAUCACUUGGGCGAGUUUCUAGCUGGUAAACGCGCGGAUGGACCGCAAGAGGCGUUGCCAUUUAAGUUAUUGAUGUGUUUUUUUAUGAAGUUGUUCGGUUUUAAAAUGUAGCGUGCAAAAUCGUGGAGGGACAACGGUACACAAAAAGGUUGAACAAGAAGCAUGUUUAAUCGAAAACGGUAAUAAAUAAGAUGUGAGUUUAAACAAA